AGGACGAACGCUGGCGGCGUGCUUAAACAUGCAAGUCGAACGAGGUCCAACUACUCGCAAGAGUGGGGAAGACCUAGUGGCGAACGGGUGCGUAACACGUGAGGAACCUGCCCCGGAGACCGGGAUAACCCCUCGAAAGAGGAGCUAAUACCGGAUGUGCUCAUCGGAUCACCUGGUCUGAUGAGGAAAUGGAUUCCGCUCCGGGAUGGCCUCGCGGCCUAUCAGCUUGUUGGUGAGGUAACGGCUCACCAAGGCGACGACGGGUAGCUGGUCUGAGAGGACGAUCAGCCACACUGGGACUGAGACACGGCCCAGACUCCUACGGGAGGCAGCAGUUAGGAAUCUUGCGCAAUGGGCGAAAGCCUGACGCAGCAACGCCGCGUGGGGGAUGAAGGCUCUCGGUCGUAAACCCCUUUCAGCGGGACGAUUGUGACGGUACCCGCAGAAGAAGGACCGGCCAACUACGUGUCAGCAGCCGC
rnacentral:rRNA from 1 species